AAAAAUUGUGGAACAGACGUGGGGUCACAUACUUAUCGCAAAUCACGGCCGGUGGUCACUUGGCGGACUUCCCAUCCCUUACCCAACAAUUCAAUCUCCCAGGGAAGGCUUAUUUUUCAUACCUGCAAUUAAAAUCCUGGGUAGGGAAACAUUCUGGACUGAACAGACCUCAGAACCAUAGCACGUUGCUGACAGAGAUGGAAAAACUAUGUACAACCUCCAAAC